rnacentral:rRNA from 1 species
UACGUAGGUGGCAAGCGUUGUCCGGAAUUAUUGGGCGUAAAGGGCGCGUAGGCGGCCUCCGCAAGUCAGUUGUGAAAUCUCCGGGCUUAACCCGGAAAGGUCAACUGAUACUGCGGGGCUAGAGUGCAGAAGGGGCAACCGGAAUUCUCGGUGUAGCGGUGAAAUGCGUAGAUAUCGAGAGGAACACCUGCGGCGAAGGCGGGUUGCUGGGCUGACACUGACGCUGAAGCGCGAAAGCUAGGGGAGCGAACGGG